rnacentral:misc_RNA from 1 species
UCCGGUUUGUCACCGGCAGUCUGGCGUGAGUCCCCGCCAUUACGCGCUGGCAACAUGGAACGAGGGUUGCGCUCGUUGCGGGACUUAACCCAACAUCUCACGACACGAGCUGACGACAACCAUGCACCACCUGUGAACCGGCCCCAAAAGGAGAAACCACAUCUCUGCGGCGGUCCGGUCCAUGUCAAGCCUGGGUAAGGUUCUUCGCGUUGCGUCGAAUUAAACCACACGCUCCGCUGCUUGUGCGGGCCCCCGUCAAUUCCUUUGAGUUUUAGCCUUGCGGCCGUACUCCCCAGGCGGGGCGCUUAAUGCGUUAGCUGCGGCACAGAGAACGUGGAAGUCCCCCACACCUAGCGCCCACCGUUUACGGCGUGGACUAC